AGGGCGUACGGUGGAUGCCUUGGCAUUAGGAGGCGAUGAAGGGCGUGGUUAGCUGCGAUAAGCCUCGGGGAGCCGCAAACUGGCUUUGAUCCGGGGAUACCCGAAUGGGGAAACCUAUUCUGAUAAACUCAGAAUACCCUCCGCUGAAUUCAUAGGCGGUGUGGAGCGAACCCAGGGAAGUGAAACAUCUCAGUACCUGGAGGAAAAGAAAUAAAAGAGAUUCCCUAAGUAGUGGCGAGCGAACGGGGAUGAGCUCAAACCGACGAUAUGUAAGGCCUUACCCGUUGUACCGUCGGGGUUGUAGGGUCUAACGUGCUUUGUGUGAGGACAAGGCAGAAAGUUACAAACCAAUGUUGUAGCCGAAGCGUCUGGAAAGGCGAAUCAAAGAAGGUGAAAAUCCUGUAGGCGAAACGGCAAAGGCUUUCAGUUAGAUACCUGAGUACCAUGGGGCCCGAGGAACCCUGUGGGAAUCUGGGGGGACCACCUUCCAAAGCUAAAUACUACCUAAUGACCGAUAGUGAACCAGUACCGUGAGGGAAAGGCGAAAAGAACCCCGGUGAGGGGAGUGAAAUAGAACCUGAAACCGUACGCUUACAAGCAGUCAAAGCCCUAUGCCCCGCAAGGGGAAUGGGUGAUGGCGUGCCUUUUGCUUAAUGAGCCGGCGAGUUAUUGAGUGCAGCAAGGUUAAGGAGAAGAUCCGGAGCCGUAGCGAAAGCGAGUCCGAAUAGGGCGAUUUAGUUGCAUUCAAUAGACCCGAAGCCAAGUGAUCUACCCAUGGCCAGGAUGAACCCUGCUUAACCGCAGGGGGAGGUCCGAACCGUCGACCGUUGAAAGGGUCUCGGAUGAGCUGUGGGUAGGGGGGAAAGGCUAUGCAAACUUGGUGAUGGCUGGUUCUCCUCGAAAUAGCUAUAGGGCUAGCCUUGCAAACUCUGUUGCGGAGGUAGAGCACUGAAUGGGCUAGGGGCCUUACCCGGCUACCAAACCCAAUCAAACUCCGAAUACCGCAAACAUUUAUUGCAGGAGUCAGACUACGGGUGCUAAGAUUCGUGGUCAAAAGGGAAAGAGCCCAGACCGCCAGCUAAGGUCCCCAAAAUAGACUAAGUGGUAAAGGUUGUGAGAACGCUCAGACAGCCAGGAGGUUGGCUUAGAAGCAGCCAUCCUUUAAAGAGUGCGUAAUAGCUCACUGGUCGAGCGAUCUUGCGCCGAAAAUUUAACGGGGCUCAAGUCUAUUACCGAAGCUGCGGAUUGUUAAGAUCUUCGGAUUUUAAUGAUGGUAGAGGAGCAUUCCCUAUGCCGUUGAAGGUCAAUCGUAAGGAUGACUGGAGGUAUGGGAAGAGAUUCUGCCGGCAUAAGUAGCGAUAAAAGACGUGAGAAACGUCUUCGCCAUAAACCUAAGGUUUCCUGGGGAAGGUUAAUCCUCCCAGGGUUAGUCGGUCCCUAAGUCGAGGUCGAAAGAAGUAGACGAUGGACAACAGGUUAAUAUUCCUGUACUUCCUUAAUAGCGUUAUCAGUGAAGGGGGGACGCAGGAGGGUAGGUACCGCUCCGAGUUGGAAUUCGGGGUCUAAGCCCGUAGGGGGUUCCGAUAGGCAAAUCCGUCGGAACAUUACUCCGAGAGGUGAUGGGGAGUCUCGUAAGAGACGAACGGGCUGAUCCCAUGCUGCCAAGAAAAACCUCGUCGCGAGUUAUUAAGGGAACCGUACCGCAAACCGACACAGGUAGGUAGGAGGAAAACUCUAAGGCGCUUGAGAGAAUGCUCCCUAAGGAACUAGGCAAAUUAGCCCCGUAACUUCGGAAUAAGGGGUGCUCCGAUUUGUGAUGGGAUUUACUCCCUGAGCGGAUUGGAGUCUCAGUUAAGAGGCUCUGGCGACUGUUUACCAAAAACACAGGACUCUGCAAAGUCGAAAGACGAUGUAUAGGGUCUGAUGCCUGCCCAGUGCCGGAAGGUUAACAGGAGAGGUUAGCCGCAAGGCGAAGCUUUGAAUCGAAGCCCCGGUAAACGGCGGCCGUAACUAUAACGGUCCUAAGGUAGCGAAAUUCCUUGUCGGGGAAGUUCCGACCUGCAUGAAUGGCAUAACGACUGGAGCACUGUCUCGGGGAGCAACUCAGCGAAAUUGUUGUUCCGGUGAAGAAGCCGGGUGCCCGCAACUAGACGGAAAGACCCUGUGCACCUUUACUAUAACUUGACACUGGAUGUUGGGUGGGUAUGUGUAGGAUAGGUGGGAGGCUGUGAAGCGGAGGCGCUAGCUUUCGUGGAGCCAACCUUGAAAUACCACCCUUACUCUUCCGACGUUCUAACCUGGGUCCCUUAUCGGGAUCGGGGACAAUGUCUGGUGGGUAGUUUGACUGGGGCGGUCGCCUC
rnacentral:rRNA from 1 species